GACGAACGCUGGCGGCGUGCUUAACACAUGCAAGUCGAACGGAAAGGCCCUGCUUUUGUGGGGUGCUCGAGUGGCGAACGGGUGAGUAACACGUGAGUAACCUGCCCUUGACUUUGGGAUAACUUCAGGAAACUGGGGCUAAUACCGGAUAGGAGCUCCUGCUGCAUGGUGGGGGUUGGAAAGUUUCGGCGGUUGGGGAUGGACUCGCGGCUUAUCAGCUUGUUGGUGGGGUAGUGGCUUACCAAGGCUUUGACGGGUAGCCGGCCUGAGAGGGUGACCGGCGGCAUGGGGAAUGAGGGACGGACCAGACGAGUACGGGAGGCAGCAGGGGGGAGGAUUGAACAGUGGGCGGGAGCGUGAGGCAGCAACGACGGGUGCGGGAUGACGGCCGGCGGGUUGAAAAAAGCAUUCGCCUGUGACGAAGCGGGAGGGACGGUAACGAAUAAAGAAGCACCGGCUAACUACGUG
rnacentral:rRNA from 1 species